UUCUUUCUUUUCAAUUCUCUCUCGAAAAAAAUAAAACAGAAAACCAAAACGAAAGUAUUCGUAAUGAAAAGGAUAGAAUAAUUAGUAGACUAUUAGCCCAACCUUAGCCAAACAAUGCCUUUUUCGGUUUCAAAAUCUUUAGAAAAGAUCAAUAAAAUAAUUUAUUAUUACAAGCUCAAGGAAAGCUGAAUUUUCUGAAAAGAAAAAGAGUAUCUUUGAGACGAACAACAAAAUUAAAGUAAAAUUAGAAUAAUUACCAAAUUAAAAAGAGAUAUUAAGCUACUUUACUAAUUAAACAGAACCCGUGCACAAACCCGCCAAACAAAAAAUACUAAAAAAAAAAAAAUCACCUUACAAAAGAUAAAAAGUAAAGAGCGGCUUCAGAAAUUCACAACCUUAUAAACAAAGUCAAAUGUCGUGAAUAAUACGAGAAUUAUAUAGAAUUUGGGAUCUCUUAUCUGUGUCACAGGGGUUGAUUGAGAAAACUUGAUUCUAGUUUCCAAGCAAGAAAUUACAAUUACAGAAAAGAGCAAACGCCAGAUAAUCCUUAAAACGAAUAACCGUUUGAGACCUUUCCGUCCGUACUUUGACAAAAAUUAACCCGUCAGCUCAUGAAAAGAGUAUAUAUGUGGUUGGGAAGUGAAAACCCCAGUAAAAAAAAUUUUUGAAGUAUGGAGACGCUGUAACAAUUCAGUGACGUAUAGAUAAAUAUUUUGAAACUCGAUAAAUAAUUCAAAAAUCCGUGUUUAGAGGUUUGUGCAACUUUUUAAAAAAAGAAAAACAAUCACUAUAUCUGUGUUAUACUUGCGAGUGAAUGAACAGUUCAAAAACUUGAGAAAUUCUGGUUUACUAAGUUUUCUAAAAAUUGCAAAACACAUAAUAUAUGGAGGUUAGAAACUAUAUAAACUAACGAACCUGUCUGUUGGCAAAUCUGUUUCAACUACUUGCAUUUGUGACCCGCCAUUAGAAGCAUUGGUAUUGGCUAUUGUCGAAAACGUGAAUUGGGUUUUCAUAAAGCUUUUGUGAUGGGAUGUAUAUAUAAACCAACUCGCCCACAAAAAAGACUUUACCCUUUUACACAUUUUCUCUUUGUUGUGUUCCUUUUUUCAGUCCUUGGGUCAUUUCCAAACAGUGUAGUCCAAAGUAUGUAGAUGCUGCUCAAAAGUAGAGAGAACUAAACAUUAUGAUUUAGGAACAGUCGCCAGUAAAACUUGAUAAUAAUCAAAUAGAAAGCGUCUAUAAGUAUCGUAGAAGAACUCACAUCGGCAACCUGUAUGUGAACCUAAAUCCGACCUUCAUAUUGUUUCAACAAAUAGUCAAGAAACAACUCCUAAUGAAUUUUCAAUAUCCUUUUUUCGAACAUCGUGUUGACCUUGUAUCAUGCUGCUUUCCAUUACAGCGAAUUGUCGAGUAAUAAACGAGUAGAAUUUUAGCAAAACCACGGCUUUCAAUGAAAUCCCUUAAUUCAA